rnacentral:rRNA from 1 species
GACAGAGGCCCCAAGCGUUAGGCGGAAUCACUGGGCUUAAAGCGUGUGUAGGCGGAUCGUUAAGUGUCUUGUGAAAUCCCACGGCUCACCCGUGGAACUGCUGGGCAUACUGGCGAUCUUGGGCCAACUAGGGGCAGCCGGAACAAGCGGUGGAGCGGUGAAAUGCGUAGAUAUCGGAAGGAACACCGGUGGCGAAGGCGGAUCUCUGGGCCAUUACUGACGCUGAGGAGCGAAAGCGUGGGGAGCGAACAGG